rnacentral:rRNA from 1 species
AACGUAGGUGGCAAGCGUUAUCCGGAUUUACUGGGCGUAAAGGGUGUGCAGGCGGGCGGUCAAGUGGUGUAUGAAAUAUCCUGCUCAACCAGGAGAGGUUAUGCCAGACUGACCGUCUUGAGUGCGAGAGAGGGGCGUGGAAUUCCGGGUGUAGUGGUGAAAUGCGUAGAGAUCCGGAGGAACCCCAGAGGCGAAGGCGGCGCCUGGCUCGCAACUGACGCUCAUACACGACAGCAUGGGGAGCGAACGGG